rnacentral:tRNA from 1 species
GGGGCUGUAGCUCAGCUGGGAGAGCGCCUGGAUCGCACCCAGGAGGUCAGGGGUUCGAGCCCCCUCAGCUCCACUA